UGCUGAGACUUAUCCUCAGAUUGUCAUUUAAGAUAAGAUAUCAUAAUACAGGAAAACAAACAUUUAUUACCACAGUAGCCUCUAGGCUUUUAUUGCACAACACUAAGGAAAAGAAUAGGAUCAUCUCCUUAUUUAUCAUUCUGGUUUGGCUGCUCCAGUCCAUAUCCUUGGUAUUUUUCAGUGCCUAACCUGGAAGCUGAUCUCCAGGAGCUGUCUCAGUCAAAGACUGGGGAUGAAUGUGGAGAUAGUCCUGAUGUCCAGGGGAAGAUUCUGCCAAAAUCAGAGCAAUUUAAAAUGCCAGAAGGAGGGGAAGGGAAACCACAGCUUUAAACGAAGACAACCAAAAGAAUGCAAACUGGAUUUAUCCGAGAUAUUUGACUUUUAAAAAUCUCAAUAAAGUUUUCCAGUUUUCUCCAAA
rnacentral:sRNA from 1 species